GAUGAACGCUGGCGGCGUGCCUAAUACAUGCAAGUCGAGCGAACGGACGAGAAGCUUGCUUCUCUGAUGUUAGCGGCGGACGGGUGAGUAACACGUGGAUAACCUACCUAUAAGACUGGGAUAACUUCGGGAAACCGGAGCUAAUACCGGAUAAUAUUUUGAACCGCAUGGUUCAAAAGUGAAAGACGGUCUUGCUGUCACUUAUAGAUGGAUCCGCGCUGCAUUAGCUAGUUGGUAAGGUAACGGCUUACCAAGGCAACGAUGCAUAGCCGACCUGAGAGGGUGAUCGGCCACACUGGAACUGAGACACGGUCCAGACUCCUACGGGAGGCAGCAGUAGGGAAUCUUCCGCAAUGGGCGAAAGCCUGACGGAGCAACGCCGCGUGAGUGAUGAAGGUCUUCGGAUCGUAAAACUCUGUUAUUAGGGAAGAACAUAUGUGUAAGUAACUGUGCACAUCUUGACGGUACCUAAUCAGAAAGCCACGGCUAACUACGUGCCAGCAGCCGCGGUAAUACGUAGGUGGCAAGCGUUAUCCGGAAUUAUUGGGCGUAAAGCGCGCGUAGGCGGUUUUUUAAGUCUGAUGUGAAAGCCCACGGCUCAACCGUGGAGGGUCAUUGGAAACUGGAAAACUUGAGUGCAGAAGAGGAAAGUGGAAUUCCAUGUGUAGCGGUGAAAUGCGCAGAGAUAUGGAGGAACACCAGUGGCGAAGGCGACUUUCUGGUCUGUAACUGACGCUGAUGUGCGAAAGCGUGGGGAUCAAACAGGAUUAGAUACCCUGGUAGUCCACGCCGUAAACGAUGAGUGCUAAGUGUUAGGGGGUUUCCGCCCCUUAGUGCUGCAGCUAACGCAUUAAGCACUCCGCCUGGGGAGUACGACCGCAAGGUUGAAACUCAAAGGAAUUGACGGGGACCCGCACAAGCGGUGGAGCAUGUGGUUUAAUUCGAAGCAACGCGAAGAACCUUACCAAAUCUUGACAUCCUUUGACAACUCUAGAGAUAGAGCCUUCCCCUUCGGGGGACAAAGUGACAGGUGGUGCAUGGUUGUCGUCAGCUCGUGUCGUGAGAUGUUGGGUUAAGUCCCGCAACGAGCGCAACCCUUAAGCUUAGUUGCCAUCAUUAAGUUGGGCACUCUAAGUUGACUGCCGGUGACAAACCGGAGGAAGGUGGGGAUGACGUCAAAUCAUCAUGCCCCUUAUGAUUUGGGCUACACACGUGCUACAAUGGACAAUACAAAGGGCAGCGAAACCGCGAGGUCAAGCAAAUCCCAUAAAGUUGUUCUCAGUUCGGAUUGUAGUCUGCAACUCGACUACAUGGAGCUGGAAUCGCUAGUAAUCGUAGAUCAGCAUGCUACGGUGAAUACGUUCCCGGGUCU
rnacentral:rRNA from 1 species